UACGUAGGCAGCAAGCGUUGUUCGGAGUUACUGGGCGUAAAGGGUGUGUAGGCGGUUCUUUAAGUUUGGUGUGAAAUCUCCCGGCUCAACUGGGAGGGUGCGCCGAAUACUGAGGGACUAGAGUACGGGAGAGGAAAGUGGAAUUCCUGGUGUAGCGGUGAAAUGCGUAGAUAUCAGGAGGAACACCGGUGGUGUAGACGGCUUUCUGGACCGUAACUGACGCUGAGACACGAAAGCGUGGGUAGCAAACCGG
rnacentral:rRNA from 1 species